ACUCGGACACCCCCCCCCCCCCCCCCCGCCCCGGUCAUCUCAGUGACGCGUGCCCAUCAACCCAUCACUCGGUCGCCCAGCUCGGCCGACACUCACGCUCCGCCAGCAUCGACAUCGCCGCGAGUCUGCCGAGCGCUGCCUCUGGCCGGGAGUCCGACGGUUCUGAGGAGUCUGCGGAGAAGAUAAGGGAGCAAGCCCCUGGGCGCGCACGCCGGGCUGAAGGCUGCACUGGGGCGCGUACUGCUGACGUCAGGUGUGCGCGACUCGCUACCCACCACGUGAAGCUGAGGGGCGGGGCUGCCUUGCAGGAUUGAGAGACACAGAUUCGUUUUAGGUCAAAGAGAAGAACAGACCUGCUGUCAUGAGAUUAACUCAUAUGCUGAAACCUUCACCCCCCAGGAGAUGGCAUGGAUGACUUUUAUCGUCAGUACAUGUCACAAGAAAACAUUUAAAAUGACACCAAAACAAUCUUUGAAAUCAUGGUGCAUGGAGGAAAAAAGCCACUUCUCUACAUGGUCUGCACUUACAGUAGAUACAUUCAUUAUUGUCCAAGGGAAGACAGCCGCUGCCUUUCACUUAAAGAGCUUGGUGGAGAGGCUGAAGGGGUAUGCUACAGCUGAAGGCCCGGGGAAAAUGGAAUUCACACGAUGCGUUCCCAUCGACCAUGGUCAUGGAAAAUAUUUAGGGAUGUCAAGCAUGGUGGUUGGGGACAUACCACACAAAUUUCAUAAAUGUAAAGGAGCACUGUGAGCUGGUGUUUCUACGGCAGAGAGGGACAACGUGGCUUCAUCAGUUCUGCUGAGUUCCCUCGCUCAUUAUGUCAUCUCUCUAGGCAUGGCUUGCCUCAUCUGUGGAAGGAGGAUCCUGGGUCCUCAGGGCUCUUGGGCCUUCUCUGGCAUUUUGGGUCUGAGGUCCCAGAGAUGUUGUCAGCUGGAACAGACAAAAGUAAGGUCUGCAUUCUGCAGCCUUAUACCCAGAGAGAAUGAGCUUGCUCCUGAAAAGUAGCAACUCAGUGUUGUCCUCACAGCCUGCUAGAGACUGGAGAUCAACAUCAGCACCCUGGCACUACUCCCUUUGACUCCUGGCCACAGAGAGCCUGCAAGAGAGGAACAAUGCUGCCAUGUGUCUGUGGUCCCUCUGCAGCCAGCCUUGACUUUGAGGAAAAGGAGGAAAUGCACUCAGUUCAUCCUGAAAACUGCCCACCAGCAGCUGACAAUGAUGUGAGAGACACUCACCUACACCACUGAGGACGUAUGUGCCCCUGAGGAAGAAGUGCCUGUGAAGUAUGUUCUAAGUUCUUAACUCUGAAGAGAGCAAAGACAGAGCCAGCCAAGAACUUCUUUUGAUUCAGCUGGCCACGGGACAGAUGGUUUUCUGCAAAGCCAAUAAGCUCCAGGACCUAGGAAACCUGUGACCUCAGCUUGGGAAGGAAGAAGCAGCCUGUUUACAGAGAGGUGAAGCGAUCUGCCCCAAGAUAAGUAAGUGUCUGAGAAACACCGAUCCUGGACAGAACAACACAAAGCGGCUGCUACCAACUGUACAUGUUCGAUUCCUGCAAGGGAAGGGGUUGUCUGUCUGGGUGGGGUCUGGGGUGGGGAAAGAGAGGAUAGCAAACUGCUAGCAUACCCAGGGAAUAAACUAGCCCACAGAUGUAGGCUUGGCAAGAGAAGAUAUGAUUUUAGGGCAAGAACUCAACUCCUUUGACCAGAAAUAAUUCCUAGCUAUUCCCCAUUAAUCCAUGUGGGGACCAUCUCACUGAAGAGAUUUCCUGAGGAAAUCUUGACAUAAUAAUCCCUUUAAUACAUAUCUUCCCCCUGAGCAAGUCCAGGUGGUCUGAGGAGGAGGAGUCUCAUGUUCAGCCUCACAGUCAGCUCAGGACCCAAAUUUGCUUUACAUGCACUGAAGACCCAGGAAAAGGCAACCUAUGUCACAUAUGAAGAAAUUGAGGCACAACAAGGCCACCGAUAUUUUCUGCAGCCUUUCAUGUGGCUCUGGUGCCAUUACAGUCAGGAAAGCCUUGAGUCUCUCUUUCUGAAUUCUUCAACAUCUGCAUUGCCUGUCUGCCUAACUCAACAUUUACUGCCCAACUGCCUUCCUAUCUACAAUAUAGUAAAUGUACUCUUGUGUAUAAAAUAUAAAUAAUUCUUAGACUCCCACUUAUCUUCCUGUCCUUUCUUCUCCUUAUAUAACUAGGACUGAAAAAAGAAUGUUCCAUGACAAGGGAAAACCACAGUACUGCUCAGAGAGAGAGAGAGAGAGAGAGAUCUCUGAAAGGAGAAAUGCCCACCCUCGCCUCCGGGGCCUGUUGCUUUAGAGCUGGACUGUACAGCUGUUUAGUGGGGUGUAAUUCAACAGAAAUCAGCAAUGGAGACACCUGUGCCUGAUGAGUGAACUUCCACAACCUGGUUUUAAGGAACAGUAAAUACAGUAGAGAUAGAUAGAUAUGCUAUGUUGAACCUUGAGUACUAAACACAAGUUAUAAAGAGAAUUAUGCUAAAGGAAAGCAGACAGACAUCAUUUGGGACUAAGUCUGGCUGACAACCAGUCACCAUUAGGAUUAAAAAGUAAACUGGCUUGUUCACUGUGCACCUCCACGACACUUCUUAAUGCACUAAGUACAUUUUAACCAUGCAGAAAUACACAACAUCUUAACUAGGUUGUUGGUUUUUUGUUUUUUCGUUUUUUGUAAAAAAAAAAAAUCGAACACCAACAUUAUGCAUUUUUGUUAAUUAUAUUGGUUAAAGUAACAGCCAGUGGCUGCCAAAUAUCAGAUACAUCAUAUACAUAUUUUUAUACAGAAUCUGGACAACACAACAUUACACAUCAGAGAGAGAGGAAGAGAGAGGAAGAGAGAGGAAAAGAGAUAAUUUGUUCCUUUGUGGGUUUGUUGCUGUUCAGUUAAAGAAAAAAAAAAAAAGUAAAAUGAGAAGCAAAGCUAAGAAGGAAAAUGCCAUCAACAGUUAAGAAUACACAGAGAGAAUUGCUACCCCGAAAUACAGGAGGCAAAGAGUUCAUAUUUAGGUCUGUGUCUAGAAUGUUCCUCACUAAGAAACGAAAGAAAACAACAGGUAUAUUGGUUUGGAAAAGCAGGGAGGUGGCAAUAACAUCAUGCUGUCUUUUGCCCAGCACGUUUCCAGCAGGAAGGGAAAAAAAAAUAAUCACAAAUCAAUUCCAAAAGUUUCAUAUUUUUAAAAAUGUCCUCCCUUGCCCAAAGCUGAGUGAUGCAGGCGUGGGGGCCGCUCAGUCGAGAGAGUCCCUGGCAAAGGUUGGGCCCAAACCAUUGGCCUUGGAUUUGCUGGAGAUGCGAGCUGUUGUGGGAACUCACACAAUGGGAUGCGAUGUGGCUUGCUCCUCUAGGCAAGGUCUCCCUGGCACCAGAGCAGGGGUGCCUCCAGGAUAAGCACUACUAGCCAGGCCCCAAUCCUGCCUCCUUAAACUUUUGGUGUCAACACAAUUGUAAAACUUCAACCUGGAAAGAAAACAAGGCCUUAAACACAAGCUAUGGAAGCUCUGCCGUGGUUAUGGUUAGAUACAAAAAUGUGAAAAUCCAGAUGUAAUCAAAAAUACAAAAUCAGUUUCAAUA